rnacentral:rRNA from 1 species
UACGUAGGUGGCAAGCGUUAUCCGGAAUUAUUGGGCGUAAAGAGCGCGCAGGUGGUUAAUUAAGUCUGAUGUGAAAGCCCAUGGCUUAACCGUGGAGGGUCAUUGGAAACUGGUUGACUUGAGUGCAGAAGAGGGAAGUGGAAUUCCAUGUGUAGCGGUGAAAUGCGUAGAGAUAUGGAGGAACACCAGUGGCGAAGGCGGCUUCCUGGUCUGCAACUGACACUGAGGCGCGAAAGCGUGGGGAGCAAACAGG